rnacentral:rRNA from 1 species
GACGAACGCUGGCGGCGUGCCUAAUACAUGCAAGUAGAACGCUGAAGGAGGAGCUUGCUUCUCUGGAUGAGUUGCGAACGGGUGAGUAACGCGUAGGUAACCUGCCUGGUAGCGGGGGAUAACUAUUGGAAACGAUAGCUAAUACCGCAUAAGAGUAGAUGUUGCAUGACAUUUGCUUAAAAGGUGCAAUUGCAUCACUACCAGAUGGACCUGCGUUGUAUUAGCUAGUUGGUGGGGUAACGGCUCACCAAGGCGAAGAUACAUAGCCGACCUGAGAGGGGGGUCGGCCACACUGGGACGGAGACACGGCCCAGACUCCUACGGGGGGCAGCAGUAGGGAAACUUCGGGAAUGGGCGGAAGUCUGACCGAGCAACGCCGCGUGAGUGAAGAAGGUUUUCGGGUCGUAAAGCUCUGUUGUAAGAGAAGAAAGAGUGUGAGAGUGGAAAGUUCACACUGUGACGGUAUCUUACCAGAAAGGGACGGCUAACUACGUG